AAGAGCGAACGCGACUGAAUUUUCAAAAGAUGAGAUCGAGAUCCUCUUGUGCUUUCCUCCUCCUUUCCGUUAUGCUUCUGUUGAGGAACAGAUUGAAUUUUCUUGUGGUGGUUCGGCGAUGGAAGGUUGGAAGCGGUUGAAGGUGGUUCGGUGAACGGAGAUUGGUUACGGUUAUGGUUGGUUGCGGUUAUGAUGAAGAGAAUGAAUCAACGAAGAAUCCAGAGUAAUUUCCGCGAGAUCUCGAACGAAUCUGUAUCCGAUCCGAAGUCCGGCCAAAUCGUUGCGUGUAGAUAAAAAUGGUGAGUGAAGAUUGGUGAGGUUCGAAUGGUUCAGAGUUGAGAGAAGGUCUUGGUGAAGGUUUGAUGAAGUUUGGUUCAAGAAGAAGAUUCGGUUAGGCGUUGUGGUGGAGGGUUAUGGAGUUUGGAGUUUGGUGAAGGUGAUUGUGAAUUGAAAAAAUGGUUACGGUUACGGUGGUUGAAGGUUUUGGUUGAAGAAUUGGAAGAGAGUUUUUGACGGUGGUUGAUGAAUGGAGGUUGAA